CGGCGGACGGGUGAGUAACGCGUGGGUAACCUGCCUCAUACAGGGGGAUAACAGUUAGAAAUGACUGCUAAUACCGCAUAAGACCACAGGGUCGCAUGGCCCGGUGGUAAAAACUCCGGUGGUAUGAGAUGGACCCGCGUCUGAUUAGCUGGUUGGUGGGGUAACGGCCUACCAAGGCGACGAUCAGUAGCCGACCUGAGAGGGUGACCGGCCACAUUGGGACUGAGACACGGCCCAAACUCCUACGGAAGGCAGCAG
rnacentral:rRNA from 1 species